rnacentral:misc_RNA from 1 species
AAUUCUCAACCUCAUCAGUUUUGUUAUGAGACUGUGUGAGGCUUGGAUGUGGGGGUUUUUGCAGGCUGCCUCAGUGCGGUCUGCUCCCCUGAAAUGCAUUAGCGAGUUCCAACUGGGCUCCGUCUAUUGGUGUGAUAAUUAUCUACGCCGUGGAUUGGGCUUAGACUUGCUUCUAACCGUCCGCAAGGACAAUCUUUUGACA